rnacentral:rRNA from 1 species
UGAGGAAUAUUGGUCAAUGGGCGCAAGCCUGAACCAGCCAUGCCGCGUGCAGGAAGACGGUCCUAUGGAUUGUAAACUGCUUUUAUUUGGGAAUAAACCUCUUUACGUGUAGAGAGCUGAAGGUACCAAAUGAAUAAGCACCGGCUAACUCCGUGCCAGCAGCCGCGGUAAUACGGAGGGUGCAAGCGUUAUCCGGAAUCAUUGGGUUUAAAGGGGUCCGCAGGCGGUCUUAUAAGUCAGUGGUGAAAGCCUACAGCUCAACUGUAGAACUGCCAUUGAUACUGUAAGACUUGAAUUCGAUCGAAGUGGGCGGAAUAUGACAUGUAGCGGUGAAAUGCUUAGAUAUGUCAUAGAACACCGAUAGCGAAGGCAGCUCACUAGGUCUGGAUUGACGCUCAGGGACGAAAGCGUGGGGAGCAAACAGGAUUAGAUACCC